rnacentral:rRNA from 1 species
CGCUGGCGGCAGGCCUAACACAUGCAAGUCGAGCGGUAACAGAAAGUAGCUUGCUACUUUGCUGACGAGCGGCGGACGGGUGAGUAAUGCUUGGGAACAUGCCUUGAGGUGGGGGACAACAGUUGGAAACGACUGCUAAUACCGCAUAAUGUCUACGGACCAAAGGGGGCUUCGGCUCUCGCCUUUAGAUUGGCCCAAGUGGGAUUAGCUAGUUGGUGAGGUAAUGGCUCACCAAGGCAACGAUCCCUAGCUGGUUUGAGAGGAUGAUCAGCCACACUGGAACUGAGACACGGUCCAGACUCCUACGGGAGGCAGCAGUGGGGAAUAUUGCACAAUGGGCGAAAGCCUGAUGCAGCCAUGCCGCGUGUGUGAAGAAGGCCUUCGGGUUGUAAAGCACUUUCAGUCAGGAGGAAAGGGUGUGAGUUAAUACCUCACAUCUGUGACGUUACUGACAGAAGAAGCACCGGCUAACUCCGUGCCAGCAGCCGCGGUAAUACGGAGGGUGCGAGCGUUAAUCGGAAUUACUGGGCGUAAAGCGUACGCAGGCGGUUUGUUAAGCGAGAUGUGAAAGCCCCGGGCUCAACCUGGGAACUGCAUUUCGAACUGGCAAACUAGAGUGUGAUAGAGGGUGGUAGAAUUUCAGGUGUAGCGGUGAAAUGCGUAGAGAUCUGAAGGAAUACCGAUGGCGAAGGCAGCCACCUGGGUCAACACUGACGCUCAUGUACGAAAGCGUGGGGAGCAAACGGGAUUAGAUACCCCGGUAGUCCACGCCGUAAACGAUGUCUACUAGAAGCUCGGAACCUCGGUUCUGUUUUUCAAAGCUAACGCAUUAAGUAGACCGCCUGGGG